AUGAACGCUAGCUACAGGCUUAACACAUGCAAGUCGAGGGGCAGCAUGAACUUAGCUUGCUAAGUUUGAUGGCGACCGGCGCACGGGUGAGUAACACGUAUCCAACCUGCCGAUGACUCGGGGAUAGCCUUUCGAAAGAAAGAUUAAUACCCGAUGGCAUAAUUCUUCCGCAUGGUAGAAUUAUUAAAGAAUUUCGGUCAUCGAUGGGGAUGCGUUCCAUUAGGUUGUUGGCGGGGUAACGGCCCACCAAGCCUUCGAUGGAUAGGGGUUCUGAGAGGAAGGUCCCCCACAUUGGAACUGAGACACGGUCCAAACUCCUACGGGAGGCAGCAGUGAGGAAUAUUGGUCAAUGGACGAGAGUCUGAACCAGCCAAGUAGCGUGAAGGAUGACUGCCCUAUGGGUUGUAAACUUCUUUUAUACGGGAAUAAAGUGAGGCACGUGUGCCUUUUUGUAUGUACCGUAUGAAUAAGGAUCGGCUAACUCCGUGCCAGCAGCCGCGGUAAUACGGAGGAUCCGAGCGUUAUCCGGAUUUAUUGGGUUUAAAGGGAGCGUAGGCGGACGCUUAAGUCAGUUGUGAAAGUUUGCGGCUCAACCGUAAAAUUGCAGUUGAUACUGGGUGUCUUGAGUACAGUAGAGGCAGGCGGAAUUCGUGGUGUAGCGGUGAAAUGCUUAGAUAUCACGAAGAACUCCGAUUGCGAAGGCAGCCUGCUGGACUGUAACUGACGCUGAUGCUCGAAAGUGUGGGUAUCAAACAGGAUUAGAUACCCUGGUAGUCCACACAGUAAACGAUGAAUACUCGCUGUUUGCGAUAUACAGUAAGCGGCCAAGCGAAAGCGUUAAGUAUUCCACCUGGGGAGUACGCCGGCAACGGUGAAACUCAAAGGAAUUGACGGGGGCCCGCACAAGCAGUGGAGUAUGUGGUUUAAUUCGAAGCAACGCGAAGAACCUUACCAGGUCUUGACAUACCAGUGACCGUCCUAGAGAUAGGAUUUUCCCUUCGGGGACAAUGGAUACAGGUGGUGCAUGGUUGUCGUCAGCUCGUGUCGUGAGAUGUUGGGUUAAGUCCCGCAACGAGCGCAACCCUCGUGAUUAGUUGCUGCCAAGCAGAACUCUAAUCAGACUGCCGUAGUUAAUACGGAGGAAGGUGAGGAUGACGUCAAAUCAUCACGUCCCUUAUGUCUUGGGCUACACACGUACUACAAUGGUCGGAAACAGAGGGAAGCGAAGCCGCGAGGCAGAGCAAACCCCAGAAACCCGAUCUCAGUUCGGAUCGCAGGCUGCAACCCGCCUGCGUGAAGUCGGAAUCGCUAGUAAUCGCAGGUCAGCAUACUGCGGUGAAUACGUUCCCGGGCCUUGUACACACCGCCCGUCACACCACGAAAGUUGGUAACACCCGAAGCCGGUGAGGUAACCUAUUAGGAGCCAGCCGUCUAAGGUGGGGCCGAUGAUUGGGGUG
rnacentral:rRNA from 1 species